rnacentral:lncRNA from 1 species
AUUAAAUUCUAAUUUGACCUCUAUCAUAAUUUAGCUGAGCCCAUUAUGAUGUCAAUCAUUUGAACUCAAUACUGCAGCGAGGAGAGAGUUGCGGUGCAGCAAAGGGAAGGGGGAUUAUAGACAGUUUGGGGACCACACAGUCGGCGUAUCAAAUUGGUUUUAUCCAUCCACAUGUAAUUUUUCCCCUGGAGAGAAGAGAGCUUGUUGAAAUGUUUGGUGUGCGGAGGGAACACGGGGCAUCAAAGGAACGACAGGCUCGACUGUGACUAGAGAAAGUUGCAUUCAGUGUUUAAAAUCGUGCUACAUCAGGGAAAUGAUUGCUUAAUACUGUGGCGAGUUUGGAUGCGACGACCUCUUAUAUGAUGCAAGUCUUAGAAAAGAAAUGAAAGUUUUUAGUGUUUUUAGAUGUUUGUUACAUUCUGGUCUCUGUGCAUUUAUUUGUUAGCACGUCUAUGGGAUGAGGUCCUUUUAAACAGGAGAAUUAUCUAGACGUGGCAUUGAUCUGGAAUACAAAUACUUAUUUAGCGCUUUCUUUCCCUCCCAGUGGAACCUAAGCUCUCAGAAAGAGGCGCCAUGCUUGGAACACGUUAACAUGUUGACAGGAGGAGCAGGAGAUUAAACCAUCAACCCUGUAAUUGGCUGUCGAUCACUUUUGGGCCAAACAGCAACUGGCCAAAGACACAAGAAACGGCAGGUUCUCUGUGCAGCGUGUGGCCCUGCGAUGGACUGGUGUCCUGUCCAGACUGUACCCUGCCUCUCUGCCUGAGUUAUCUGGGAUUGGCUCCAGCACCACUCACGACCCCUGCAGGGACCAAGCGGUUGCUCCCAAGUAUUAUGCAGUUAAAUAACCGACUUCAAUAAACAGAUAUGCAAC